rnacentral:rRNA from 1 species
GUGUCAGCAGCCGCGGUAAAACGUAGGAGGCGAGCGUUAUCCGGAGUUACUGGGCGUAAAGCGCGUGCAGGCGGCAGGAUAAGUGGCGGGUGAAAGCGCCCGGCUCAACCGGGCAAGCGCCGGUCAGACUGUUUUGCUGGAGUACCGGUGAGGGACGUGGAAUUCCGGGUGUAGCGGUGAAAUGUGCAGAGAUCCGGAGGAACACCAGCGGCGCAAGCGGCGUCCUGGACGGAAACUGACGCUGAGACGCGACAGCGUGGGGAGCGAACGGGAUUAGAUACCCUAGUAGUCC